rnacentral:lncRNA from 1 species
AAUGCAAGGUAUGCUGGAUUAGCAAAGAAAAACAAUGUGAAAAACAAAACCAGAACUCUCUGUCCAGUAAACAGUGCAGGAAGUACUGUACAUAAGAAACUGAGGAUUAAAGUCAAGGAAAGCCCUGAAACAGUUACUGUUUCAGUAAAGUGGGGCUGUAACUGUAUCCGGGGUCUCUCUCAGUUAAGCCAUUUCUGCCUUAGUGCGAAGGGAGUGGAUGAAAUGGGCAGCUGUCUCUGAGCAUUCUGUUGUGUUCAUAGGUACCGAUGAAAUAUUGGAACUGCUGAUAGAGUGGAUGACUAGAUGCAAAGAUAUUCACGGACCCUGGAGACAGGUUACAGAAGGCAAAUCUGAUGAACAUUUGUGGAGACAGUAGCUAUGAUUAGCAAGGAGGCCUGAAAGACUUGGAUUUGUUUGUGGUUGAAAAAAUUACAUGGAUGUGAAGCAUGUGAAGAUGUCAUAUCCAAAGGGAACUUAAUCAACUUGAUUCUGUGUCUGUGCCUGCCAUGUGCCAGAGGCCUAACUAUGUUGGCUGUCGUUCUGCUUGUGUUCAGAGUAUUAAAUAGAACACCAAUGAAAAUCUCUGACAAGGGUGAAGAGUGACUAGCAGCUGAGAAACUAUUAAAAUUAUAAUUCAUUCAAAGCAAUGUCUUUUAAUCGCCCAUCUCUGACUCAUGGAUCCCUACAGCUUGUUUUAUAGUUUUGAAAUCACCCCUCUACCCACCAUUUCCUGAAGACCUUACUUCAUUUUGAAAUUCAAAAUCUCCCCCUAACUUCAGUAUUUGUUCUGUGGGUUCACGGAACCUUGGAUGAUCAUGUAGGAAACUGUGUCACAAUCCUUUUCUCACGUGUAGUCUUACUGAUUUUGUCAGAAGUGCCUACAAAACAAAGUCAAGUGGAAGAAACAACUUAAAGAUUUUUUUUUAAUUAGUAAGUUGAUGAAGGUAAGAGGAAAGUUUCAGUGGGUAAAUGAAAAUGUUUUAUUGUUCUUUCAAUCAUCUCUUGCAUCAGUGGAAUCGUCUUACGCUAGAACUGCUAAAUAGCUCAGAAGUAAGUUCUUUCUCACAUUGGCCUGAUGUCACUACUGCAGACAAACUAAUUUAUUAUUGAUGACUUGUGAUGCUUUUUUAUUUGUCUCCAU